rnacentral:lncRNA from 1 species
UCCACACUUCAAGACUGAACUUUGUGAAAAGUGUACACUGAAACGUUCUUUUUCUCGGAAGUGACGUUAGACUUGCUGUUCUUUUUCGAAGUGUAGUUGUCCUAGGUCUGAAAUAGUUCUGAAUUCGCUGCCCCAGGUCUUUAGACAGUGCAAGAGUUCAGCCAUAAAAUUCUAGCGGAAAUUCUAGCGAAAAUGAAAAGUCUGCCGUACUACGCAUUUUGAUGAAGAACAAGAAAGAAGAACGAGAAAUUAUGGGUAUAUACAUAGAAACAAUAACACGAUGGCAGAAAAUCAAAAGGACAACAUUGGACAUAUUUCUAAGGAUGACACCGGUAAUAUAAUUAUCAACAAAGAGGGAUCCCAAACAGCACCGAGUCGACUAUUAGCCGACUGCAAGUCGGCAGAAAAAGUCAAAAGUCGACUUCAAAGUCAGACUGAAUGGCAACUUAAAGUCGACUAACAGCCGACAAAUGACUCGACUAUAGUCGACUGUCAGUCAC